rnacentral:rRNA from 1 species
GACGAACGCUGGCGGCGUGCUUAACACAUGCAAGUCGAGCGGAGAUGAGGUGCUUGCACCUUAUCUUAGCGGCGGACGGGUGAGUAAUGCUUAGGAAUCUGCCUAUUAGUGGGGGACAACAUUCCGAAAGGAAUGCUAAUACCGCAUACGCCCUACGGGGGAAAGCAGGGGAUGUUCGGACCUUGCGCUAAUAGAUGAGCCUAAGUCGGAUUAGCUAGUUGGUGGGGUAAAGGCCUACCAAGGCGACGAUCGGUAGCGGGUCUGAGAGGAUGAUCCGCCACACUGGGACUGAGACACGGCCCAGACUCCUACGGGAGGCAGCAGUGGGGAAUAUUGGACAAUGGGCGGAAGCCUGAUCCAGCCAUGCCGCGUGUGUGAAGAAGGCCUUUUGGUUGUAAAGCACUUUAAGCGAGGAGGAGGCUACCUGGAUUAAUACUCUAGGAUAGUGGACGUUACUCGCAGAAGAAGCCCCGGCUAACUUCGUGCCAGCCGCCGCAGUAAGAC